ensembl:miRNA
UCUGUUAGGUUGGUGCAAAAGAAAUUGCGGUUUUUCCCACUAGCUUCAAUGGCAAAAACCGCAAUUACUUUUGCAACAACUUAACACU